rnacentral:rRNA from 1 species
AGUGAACGCUGGCGGUGGGCCUAACACAUGCAAGUCGAACGGCAGCACAGUAAGAGCUUGCUCUUACGGGUGGCGAGUGGCGGACGGGUGAGGAAUACAUCGGAAUCUACUUUUUCGUGGGGGAUAACGUAGGGAAACUUACGCUAAUACCGCAUACGACCUACGGGUGAAAGCAGGGGAUCUUCGGACCUUGCGCGAUUGAAUUAGCCGAUGCCGGAUUAGCUAGUUGGCGGGGUAAAGGCCCACCAAGGCGACGAUCCGUAGCUGGUCUGAGAGGAUGAUCGGCCACACUGGAACUGAGACACGGUCCAGACUCCUACGGGAGGCAGCAGUGGGGAAUAUUGGACAAUGGGCGCAAGCCUGAUCCAGCCAUACCGCGUGGGUGAAGAAGGCCUUCGGGUUGUAAAGCCCUUUUGUUGGGAAAGAAAAGCAGCAGGUUAAUCCCCCGCUGUUCUGACGGUACCCAAAGAAUAAGCACCGGCUAACUUCGUG